rnacentral:rRNA from 1 species
AAGAAAGGUCGAGCGAACAGAAGGGAGCUUGCUCCCGGAUGUUAGCGGCGGACGGGUGAGUAACACGUGGGUAACCUGCCUGUAAGACUGGGAUAACUCCGGGAAACCGGAGCUAAUACCGGAUAGUUCCUUGAACCGCAUGGUUCAAGGAUGAAAGACGGUUUCGGCUGUCACUUACAGAUGGACCCGCGGCGCAUUAGCUAGUUGGUGGGGUAAUGGCUCACCAAGGCGACGAUGCGUAGCCGACCUGAGAGGGUGAUCGGCCACACUGGGACUGAGACACGGCCCAGACUCCUACGGGAGGCAGCAGUAGGGAAUCUUCCGCAAUGGACGAAAGUCUGACGGAGCAACGCCGCGUGAGUGAUGAAGGUUUUCGGAUCGUAAAGCUCUGUUGUUAGGGAAGAACAAGUGCGAGAGUAACUGCUCGCACCUUGACGGUACCUAACCAGAAAGCCACGGCUAACUACGUGCCAGCAGCCGCGGUAAUACGUAGGUGGCAAGCGUUGUCCGGAAUUAUUGGGCGUAAAGGGCUCGCAGGCGGUUUCUUAAGUCUGAUGUGAAAGCCCCCGGCUCAACCGGGGAGGGUCAUUGGAAACUGGGAAACUUGAGUGCAGAAGAGGAGAGUGGAAUUCCACGUGUAGCGGUGAAAUGCGUAGAGAUGUGGAGGAACACCAGUGGCGAAGGCGACUCUCUGGUCUGUAACUGACGCUGAGGAGCGAAAGCGUGGGGAGCGAACAGGAUUAGAUACCCUGGUAGUCCACGCCGUAAACGAUGAGUGCUAAGUGGUU